GGCGGGGUUCCGGAGCGGUCGAACGGGGCAGUCUUGAAAACUGUUGAGCCGCAAGGCUCCGUGGGUUCGAAUCCCACCCCCGCCG
rnacentral:tRNA from 1 species